rnacentral:lncRNA from 1 species
UCCAUUCUAAGGAUUUCAUCGUCAGAUGGGAAGUAUAAAGCCUUCGCUACCUGUGGCUCUCACCUGGCAGUUGUUUGCUUAUUUUAUGGACAGACAUUGGCGUGUACCUGACUUCAGCUGUGGCAGCACCCCCCAGGAAUGGUGUCGUGGCGUCAGUGAUGUACGCUGUGGUCACCCCCAUGCUGAACCUUUUCAUCUACAGCCAGAGAAACAGGGACAUUCAAAGCGCCCUGCGGAGGCUGCGCAGCAGAACAGUCGAAUCUCAUGAUCUCUUGCAUCCUUUUUCUUGUGUGGGUAA